rnacentral:misc_RNA from 1 species
UAUGAGUUUAUGACUUCAGAACAUCAGUUCAUAUCACGAAAGGAUGAAGGAGAUAGGAUGAUUGUAUUUGAAAGAGGAAACCUAGUUUUUGUCUUUAAUUUUCACUGGACAAAUAGCUAUUCAGACUAUCGCAUAGGCUGCCUAAAACCUGGAAAAUACAAGGUUGUCUUGGACUCAGAUGAUCCACCUUUUGGUGGCUUCGGGAGAAUUGAUCAUAAUGCCGAAUAUUUCACCUUUGAAGGAUGGUAUGAUGAUCGUCCUCGUUCAAUUAUGGUGUAUGCACCUAGUAGAACAGCAGUUGUCUAUGCACUAGUAGACAAAGAAGAAGAAGUAGUAGUCGUAGAAGAAGUAGUAGUAGAAGAAGA